UACAGAGGGGGCAAGCGUUAUUCGGAAUUAUUGGGCGUAAAGGGCGCGUAGGCGGCUUGGCAAGUGGAAGGUGAAAUCCCUCGGCUUAACCGAGGAACUGCCUUCCAGACUGCUUUGCUUGAGGCCGGGAGAGGCGAGUGGAAUUCCCAGUGUAGCGGUGAAAUGCGUAGAUAUUGGGAGGAACACCAGUGGCGAAGGCGGCUCGCUGGACCGGUUCUGACGCUGAGGCGCGAAAAGCGUGGGGAGCAAACAGG
rnacentral:rRNA from 1 species